GCUGAAAGAAACUUGAAAGAUUUUAUCAAGGCUCACCUUCUAUUACUAUAGGUGCAUAUUUGACUAGUUAGUGCUCCUCUGAUCCAGUGUUUGGAAAACAAACUCUUCCUGAUUUCCACUGUCCAGUCAGUCCUAAAGAAAUCAGCCCUGAAUAUUCACUGGAAGGACUGAUGUUGAAGCUGAAGUUCCAAUAAUUUGGCCACCUGAUGUGAAGAGCUGACUCACUGGAAAAGACCUUGAUGCUCAGAAAAAUGAAGGCAGGAGGAGAAGGGGACGACAGAGGAUGAGAUGGUUGUAUGCUCUGAAGGCCUCCGAGGGCUCUUUAUGCCCCGUUUAUCCGUGGUAUCGCCACUCUCCAGAAUACAUCCUGGCCCAUCUCAGGCACUUCCCUGAAUUCUCCGUAUACAGAAAGGAUGCAACGUUCCCUGUUAAGCAGAAAUAUCCUGUUUCCUGCCGCU
ensembl:lncRNA